rnacentral:rRNA from 1 species
GCCUACGGGAGGCAGCAGUAGGGAAUCUUCCACAAUGGACGAAAGUCUGAUGGAGCAACGCCGCGUGAGUGAAGAAGGGUUUCGGCUCGUAAAGCUCUGUUGGUAGUGAAGAAAGAUAGAGGUAGUAAAUGGCCUUUAUUUGACGGUAAUUACUUAGAAAGUCACGGCUAACUACGUGCCAGCCGCCGCGGUAAUACGUAGGUGGCAAGCGUUGUCCGGGUUUAUUGGGCGUAAAGCGAGUG